UUAUUUAUAUACCAUUAUGUGCAUAACACUAUAUAUGGGGCAUCAUUCCCUAACCAUACUGAUUUUUUCUCUAGUGUCAUAAGUACACGUACAUUCUCAAUAUUUACCAUUAAGUGAGUGUAUGGAAUGGAUGUUCUCCGUGGAUAUAUGUGAACAAGGGAGGUGUUAUCACACCUCACUGAUUUAGAAGCUGUUUGUCAGACAACUGAACUAUCUGAAACACAGCUCAGAUCGAAGAGGAAAACAAAAUGGAUGUCUCAGGACAUGUCAACACUGGGCAGUUGAUUUACAAAAGCAUCGUUUUAGUCUGUUCAUCCUUAUGUUACGUAUAGUUCACGUCAGCCAGUUUUGUUGGUUUCUUUGAUGAAAGGACUUGAAUUUUGGAGGCAGAGUACGAGGGGGUUGAAUUCAAGUAAAUUAACUCUUCUGAAAAUUAAUGAGUCUCCUUUUCUUCAUCUGAGUCAGAAAUAAUGGCAUUUAACCAUAAAGUUUUGUUAUGAGAAUUAAAGAACCUACUAUAGGAAAAGAAUCUAAUGAAACCUGAUAGACAUUAUUCUUCAAAAGGGAUUUCUUUCUUUUCCUUCUUUUCCCAGCCCAUGGUGGAUGGAAAGCAGGAGAAGAGAAGGAGUUUUCAGAGAUGCACAGGCCAAACUUAUGGUCCAGCCUGACCAUAAGAGUAUCAAAUAGAAAGAGCGGCUCAAAGCCCCCAUGCUACUCACUUCUGGGGCCACCAUUGGGUCCCAGGAAACAGUAAAAGGUGAAAUUGUACUUGGUAUACUUCUCAGAAGUUGGUGAGACAUGCCAGAACCUAUAGAACUACUUCUCCCCCUGAUAAAGACAAAACAGAGAAAAUGUUGGGGGUAACUAGUAAAACUUGGCUCAGCAUAGAGAAAAGCUGAGAUGUUCUGGUGACAAGAAAUGGAUGUACUUGAAGGGCUCAAAUGAAAGUCUAUGCAUUAUGCAAAGUCAGCAAGCUCUUUCAGGAAAGGGCCAGAUAGUCAAUAUUUUCCACUUUUUGAACCACAUACGGUCUCAGCCACAAAUUCUUUCGUGUGUACGUGUGCACAUGUGUUUUGCCGCAUUUAAAAAAUAUUAAAUAAUUCUUAGCUUAUAUGCGGUACAAGAGCAAGCCACAGACUAGCUUUGGCUAUUGUGCAAUGAUAUACUGUGAAAGAUUACAGUAAGGUGACUUUUACAAAAAUUGCAUAAAUUUUCAUAGAUUAAUGAGUGUAGUGUAUAUGUCAGUGUUUAAGUCACCCCACUAGAAACAAAACUACACUCACUGUCGUUUUAAAUAAAUGUACGCAUUGAGGAGUACUCAUGUAAAUUUGCCCCUACUUAUAAGCUGGGUUUUUAACCAGCCAAGAUGAUGACUGUUGAAAGUAGGAUUCAUAAACACAUCUGAGAGAAAAGUAGAAGCAUAUCCCAUAAUGGGAGCUCAUAUUUAUUGUAAAGUUACUAUGGGCCAGGCACGGUAUAAUAUGUAGUUGCUCUGGACUGAAUCGUGUUGUCUCAAAAUUCCUAUGUUGAAGUUCUAAGCCCCACUGUGACUGUAUUUGGAGUAGUGCUUCUAAGAAAGUAUUUCAGGUUAAAUGAGCUCAUAAGAGUGGAACCCUAGUUCAGUAAGACUCGUGUCCUUUUCGGAAGAGAAAGGUGGAGUUCCUGUUGUGGCCCAGGGGAAAUGAACCUGAUUGGUGUCCAUGAGGACUCAGGUUCAAUCCCUGCCCUUGCUCAGUGGGUUAAAGGAUCCAGCAAUGCUGUGAGCUGUGGUGUAGGUUGCAGAGGCAGCUUGGAUCUGGCAUUGCUGUGGCUAUGGUGCAGAACAGGAGCUGCAGCUCCAAUUCAACCCCUAGCUUGGGAACUUCCAUAUGCCACAGGUGCAGCCCUAAAAAAAAAAAAAAAAAAAAAAAAAAAAAGGAGAGAGAGAGAGAGAAAGGCACCGCAGGACUGUAUGUGCACAAAGAGGCCAGGUGAGGUCACAGCAAGAAGGCUGCUAUCUGCAAGCUGGGAAGAGCGUUCUCGCUAGAAACCAACCAUGCUGACACAUUGAUCUUGGACUUCCACCCUCCAAAACUGUGAGAAAACAAGACUGUCUGUUGCUUCAGCAGUUAUUUAAGCUACUGGUCUGUAGUAUAUUUGUUUUUGUAGGGCCACAGUUGCGGUAUAUGGAAGUUCCCAGGCUAGGUGUUGAAUCAGAGCUUCAGCUGCCAGCCUAUGCCACAGCGAUAGCAAUGCCGGACCCGAGCCAUGUCUGCGACCUACAUUACAGCUCCUGGCAAUGCCAGAUCCUUAAUCCAGUGAGAGGGGCCAGGGAUCGAACCUGUAUCCUCAUGGAUACUAGUCAGGUUUGUUAGCACUAAGCUACAAUGCAAACUCCAUGGGCUAUAGUAUUUUGUUAUGGCAGCCUGAGCAAACUAAUACAGCACUAUUUAGGUGAAAUCCUAAAAUAUCCUUUAUGGAAGGUGUUAUUAUUAUCCUUAAAGAGAAAAUCCAGAGAUGGAAAGAGGUUAAGUAACAUACCCAAUCUCGCCCAGUUAGUAAGUGGUAGGGCUGGGAUUUGAACCCUGGUAAACAUAAUCCAGGGCUUAUGUUCUUCAAUAAGUGUCUUCCAACCAAGGUGAGCAGGUUACAUGGAUGCUCUUCUCUGUUUUAUAUUAAGGAUGGCUUUCCACUUAAUGAAACAAAACCCAUAGGAAUAGCUAACUAAUGUAGAACAGCUCACUAAUGCUUAAAGUGCUUUAGCACAUGACCACAUGAAGACUUCUCUAAAUCUUAAUCAUACAAAUUUCAUUGCUUCCAAAAGAAGCAAAACAAAGCAUAGAUUGAAUAGCCUAUUACUUGGGCGGGCGUGGGGGGGCGGAUGUUGGGAUUUGCCCAAGGGAAGAAAUAUGAACCAGAUUUUAUUUCUCUCCUUAUGCCUUAUACAAUAUGUAUGCACUUAUAAUGGACACCAUGGCCACUUUGGUAUAGAUGUUUUUAUAUAAACCAUUUUUUUUUUGCAAAAUAUGUUGUGUACCUAAGGAAAGAUUAAUUUUCCAAAAUAAACUGGUCUUCCAGAAUUUUAUAGACGUGAAGGGGAGAAAGCAGACAUACGAAAGCCAAUCUUUAUUUUGGCAGUCAUUUCCUCCUCUCCCUUUCUCUCCUCUGUUGCUCCUGAUCUCCGAAUUUAGAAUUCAGCUUUGGCUAAUCCUCAGCAGUGUUCCACUAGAGAGAUGCUCAGACUUGGAGAUUAAUCCUGAACUGAAUUAAAGUCUAACUGAUUACACAGUUGAAGAUUGUUACAGUGAUGGGAAAACCACGGCUAACAUGGGCAGGAAUUAUCAUUAAAGGGUCCCCACAUGGUCAACUCUUGUAUUUGCUUGGUUUCCAGUUUAAUAAUCAAAAAAUGUCAUCUAUGUGGUGUUGAAUGGGCUCAUCAGAAUAUUCCGAAUGAAAAAUGCCAAACCAGGAGUUUUCAUCGUAGCUCAGCGAUAAUGAACCCAACUAGUAUCCAUGAGGAUGCAGGUUCAGUGCCUGGCCUUUCUCGUGGAUUAAGGACCCAGCAUUGCCAUGAGCUGUGGUGUAGGUUGCAGUUGUGGAUUGGAUGCUGUGUUGCAGUAGCUGUGGCAUAGGCCAGCAGCUACAACUCCAAUUUGACUCCUAGUCUGGGAACUUCCAUAUGCUGCAGGUGCAGCCCUAAAAAGACAGGACAAAAAAAAAAAAAAANAAAAAAAGGAAAGAAAGAAAAAAGAAAAAAAGAAAAAUGCCAAACCAGAAUGCCUCAGGAAGAUGUGAAAAGACUUCACAUAGCAAAUGAGCCCUCUUUGGACCGGUGACAGAUAAAAUGACAUUCAUUUCAUUGAUUCCCCAAGAGCUUGUAAUUUUAGUCAUAUAGAAAUGGCUUUCUGAAAUGUCUAAACAGGCAUUUUUUAUUACUUUUCUAUAAAACACGUACUGAAUACUGAUGAUAAAUAUUCAGUUGGAUUCUAGUGGAAACAUAGCCUGAAACAUAAAUAUUAGACUUCAUCAUUUAUUAGAAAAGGAAAAUUUCUUGAGAAAUAUUAAAGACAUAAGCCUUACUGACUAACCCAGUACAAAAGUAAUUAACUUUGUUCUUUUUUCUUCCACUCUUACCUUGUAAGAUUGAUGUUCAAAAAUGUUAGACCUAUGAUGGGUGUGCUUUGUAUGAUGUGGAAAAGAAAUGGAGCUGUGAGACUUGUGUAUGUAUGUAGAGAUGAGUAACUUGUGUUAUUGACAGUAUCAACAAUGAUAGCCAAUAUUUUUUCAUUUAACUACCAUUACUUAAGACACACUAAAAAUGUGUCAAACUCCUUAGCUAGCUACUUAUGAUAUACUAGUAAAUAAAGCAAAGAAUUCUGUCUUUGGAGAGCUUAUGUUCUACAGACGGGAAAUAAAAAACGAUCAACGAGGAGUUCCUGUUGUGGCUCAGUGAGUUACAAAUCUUACUAAUAUCCUGAGGGUGUGGGUUCGAUCCCUGACCUCGCUCAGUAGGUUAAGGAUCUGGCGCUGCUGUGAACUGUGGUGUAGGUUGCAGAUACAGCUUAGGUCUUGCAUUGCUGUGACUGUGGCUGUGGCUGUGGCUGGCAGCAACAGCUCUGAUUAGACCCCUAGCCUGUGAACCUCCAUAUGCCGCAAAUGCGGCCCUCAAGAGACAAAAGACGAAAAAAGAAAAAAAGAAGUUUUGGAGGAUGCUUCUAGACAAUUGAAAAUGGUCCAUGGCAGGGCUUGGUAUUUUGAGGAAAAAUAAGGUGGCUGAGGCUGGAGUCCUAUGAGCAGGAGAAAGAGGCAGGAAAUGAGAUCAAAGAGUUGGCAGUUGAAGGGUGAGUUCAGGGAGCAGGUGGAAGGGCAUGGGGUUUGAUUUGAUUUGAUUUACACUAUGAUGGGUAGACGCUCUUAAAAGGUGCCUGGUGAAAAGUGACAUAAUGUAACUCACGUUUUAACUGGGUCAUUCUGACUCCUUUGUGAGGAGGAACCUUAACAGAGCAGUGGAGGAAAAAGGAGCACAUGUAGGGGAUUUUGCUGGGGUCCGAGGGACAACCUACGGGGGUUUGUUGGGAUUGCGGUGGCAGUGAUGGAGAUCCGGUCAAUUUUGAAUAUAAUUUAGAUAGAAGCCAAUAGGAUUUUCUAAUAUGUGAGGGGUAAAAGGAAGAAAUGUUACUCAGCCAUUAAAAAAAAAAAAAAGAAAUCUUGCCAUUUGCAACAAUAUGAUAGACCUAGAGUGUUGUAGUAAUUAUUUUGUAAUGUAUAAAAAUAUUGAAUCACUAUGUAGUAACAUGAACCUAACAUAAUGUUGUAACUCAAUUAAUAAAUAAAAUAAAAAUAAAAGGAAAAAUAUGAAUUUAUCUGUAAUAAAAAUAAUUCUUUUGACCUAGAGAAGGAGCAUGGAAAGGAGAAAUGUAGUCCCCCUUCUCACCAACCUUAAUUAUGACCACAAGCCCAGGGAACUAUAUAUUCACAGAAACUUUGGGGCAGCACUUUAUUAUUAUGCCCUUUUCAGGGGCAUCCUUUUCUUUGUAAAUCCGUAAAUAGGGCAAAAGAGCAGGGUGAGUGGUAAUAUUCAGUUUUGCCUUUUUCAAGAAUAAUAACAUUUUGAUGCUUGACCAAACAAAUCUGCUGGUGGAUGUGGAUCUCGAGACUGUAUUUAGGCUAUAAGCCCAUAUUCUUUCAGCAGUGAUACUCUUCUAAAAGCAUAUUAAGUUGAACACACACCUUUGGAGAAUGGAAAAUCUUUUUUUUUGUAUGUGUAUGUUUGGCCUAGUAGGGGAGUGACACAAAGAAAACUGGAAAGGCCAGUUGGAAAUUUUGCAACUAUGACACAUAUUGUUUUAAUGCCAUAAAUGCUAGGUCACUGAAGAUUUUAAAAUAGAAGCAUAACCUAAAGAGAUCUGCCUUAGAACCAUCUCUGUACUGAAAUAACCGAUUAACUAUUUCUAAACUUUCUUGUAAGUGACCUCCUAUCUACUUCACAAAGAGAGAAAGUCAAUUGCCUGCCCACAGUAAGUUUGGAUUGUCACAUCGGACAUGCAAAGAGGAAAAAAAAAUACAGUUUGGUGUUCCUUUUUCUCCAAAAUGGUUGUUUUUGUUUGUUUGUUUUUUGCUUUUUAGGGCUACACCUGUGGCAUAUGGAAGUUUCCAGGCUAGGGGUCCAAUCAGAGCUGGAGCUGCCAACCUAUACCACAGCUGCAGCAAGGCGAUAUCUGAGCCUCUGCGACCUAUACCACAGCUCACGGCAAUGCCAGAUCCUUAACCCACUGAGCAAGGCCAGAGUUCAAACCUGAGUCCUCAUGGUUACUAGUCUGGUUCAUUACCUCUGAGCCACGAUGGGAACUCCCAUGCUGUCUGUUCUCAAUUGCUUUGAGGAAUGCCAUCUGUUGGCAUGGCAGUUACCUGAGUCUACCUAUCUGUGGAUCACCAAGCAAAACCUUGCCGUGUGCACUGUACUCCCUGGACUUUUUCUUUCAUUAGGUUAAACUACUCAUAGGCCCUUGGAUACAGAGGAUGGAAUCCUCGAGGAAUUGGUGGUGAUGAGCAUGGGAGCACCCCCACCCCUGGAACCUGGACUCUGGCUGUUGACUUCACUCCACUCCCUCCCACCCCCUGACUACAGGAAUGAAGAGGGGGAAGCUGAAAAGAGAAUGAGUAAUGAGGAGUCUGGUUAAGAGGUAAUGAAGACUUGAACUGA
rnacentral:lncRNA from 1 species